GGGUCAGUAGGUUGGUCGUGCCACCGGUACGUACUGGUCUCACUGAUUCCUCCUUCCUGAAGAACGGUAAUGCCAUUAAUUUGGUGUUGCGGGGAAACAGGACUGUUACUUUGAAAAAAUUAGAGUGUUUAAAGCAAGCUAACGCUUGAAUACAUUAGCAUGGAAUAAUGAAAUAGGACGAUCGAUCCUAUUUUGUUGGUUUCUAGGAUUGACGUA
rnacentral:rRNA from 1 species